AUCUAAAUAGUUUAAUGGAAAAUGUUGGUUUGUGGUGCCGAUGAUAUAUUUGUGUAUUUUAGAUU
rnacentral:tRNA from 1 species